rnacentral:hammerhead_ribozyme from 1 species
AUACUGCUGAGGAAUCCUGUAAUAGGACGAAACGGCCGUCCAGUAC